AUUGAACGCUGGCGGCAUGCCUUACACAUGCAAGUCGAACGGUAACAGGUCUUCGGAUGCUGACGAGUGGCGAACGGGUGAGUAAUACAUCGGAACGUGCCCGAUCGUGGGGGAUAACGAGGCGAAAGCUUUGCUAAUACCGCAUACGAUCUACGGAUGAAAGCGGGGGAUCUUCGGACCUCGCGCGGACGGAGCGGCCGAUGGCUGAUUAGGUAGUUGGUGGGAUAAAAGCUUACCAAGCCGACGAUCUGUAGCUGGUCUGAGAGGAUGAUCAGCUACACUGGGACUGAGACACGGCCCAGACUCCUACGGGAGGCAGCAGUGGGGAAUUUUGGACAAUGGGCGAAAGCCUGAUCCAGCCAUGCCGCGUGCAGGAUGAAGGCCUUUGGGUUGUAAACUGCUUUUGUACGGAACGAAAAGCCUCUUUCUAAUAAAGAGGGGUCAUGACGGUACCGUAAGAAUAAGCACCGGCUAACUACGUG
rnacentral:rRNA from 1 species